UACGGGGGGGGGCAAGCGUUGUUCGGAAUUACUGGGCGUAAAGGGCGCGUAGGUGGCCUUCUAAGUUGAACGUGAAAUCCCUGGGCUCAACCCAGGAACUGCGUCCAAGACUGGGAGGCUUGAAUCCGGGAGGGGGAUGCGGAAUUCCAGGUGUAGCGGUGAAAUGCGUAGAUAUCUGGAGGAACACCGGUGGCGAAGGCGGCGAUCC
rnacentral:rRNA from 1 species